rnacentral:rRNA from 1 species
GGAGCAGGCGGCCGCAAAGGUCUGUGGUGAAAGACCGAAGCUAAACUUCGGUAAGCCAUGGAAACCGGGCGGCUAGAGUGCGGAAGAGGAUCGUGGAAUUCCAUGUGUAGCGGUGAAAUGCGUAGAUAUAUGGAGGAACACCAGUGGCGAAGGCGACGGUCUGGGCCGCAACUGACGCUCAUUCCCGAAAGCGUGGGGAGCAAAUA